rnacentral:misc_RNA from 1 species
CUGCCCUCCACUCUCACCUGUCUUAAAAUCCAAAGAAUUCGAAAUCUGGAAUCUCUCAACUACGAGGGGCUUAUAAACCUAAGAAAGUUAAUCAUCGGCUGCUUCCCUAACCUCCGGUCCGUGCCAGAACGCAUGCAAGUGCUCCUCCCUUCUCUUGUGGAAUUGGAAAUAUUUGAUUGUCCAAAACUGGAACCGUCUCUAAAAGGAGGUUUGCCCCCUCAAUUAAAGUCACUUUUUAUCUGUGGCUGCCAAGAAGCCAUUGCUGGGCUAGUGAAACGCGAUUUUCGGGCGCUACCAAACAAUGAAGUGGAAUCCUUACCAGAAGAGACGCUGUUGCCCUCCUCUCUUACCUAUCUUAAAAUCUGGAAUUUUGACAAUCUCAA